CUGGGUCCUUAUCUACAUUUUAGGGAUUACACCACCUCUGUUUACUUAAAAAGAAGGGACACUGAAUGCAGUAAAGCCAGUCACACUGAGACCCUUGAUUUUACACCUAUAGUUGCCCCUACGUGAAAACAUCUGGUCCACUCAUGGGAAAGUCUAUGGUGCCACUGAUGGGAGUCAUAAUUAAAUGAAAGUUCAAAACCUGGAGAGAUAUUUUCUUAUCUGGUUGUCUGAUUGUUUCUUAGGGAUAAUCUAGGUUAAAUGUGUGUCUAAAAAAAAAUAAUAAUUUUUUUAUUGUAACAAUCUGGUAUCUGAAUGGGUUUCUAAAGCAUUGAACUAUCUUGCAGUUAAAAGUUGGGUUUAAGCAAUUGUUUAGUUUGAUUUCAGAUAGUUCAUGCUAGAAAACUUAAAUACUUGGGAUAAAAAAAAUUUAAGAGUUUCAAUUUUGAACUGGGUAGCCUGAAAAGAAAUUAAAACGUUGGUCUGGCUCAUAAAAAUGACAUUAGAUAAUUAAAUAGCAAUAGUCUUAGAAAUUUUCAAAGCUUAAUUUCAGAUAUAUAUGGUAGUGUGUGAGCAAAUUUAAUGUAACUCAAUGCUACUUUA
rnacentral:lncRNA from 1 species